UUCAGAGUUAAAGUUAUACAUUGAUUAUCUUCUCUUUGAAGUUUUAGUUAUUUACCUUAAGAAAACAUCAUUGAAUACACAUAAAUAACUCGUAUGCUCUGACAUAUACAACAAGCAAUUGUUAUUGCUUCAAAAUGAAAUGUCCUUUUAGUUGUAUUGAAUUAAAUAAAGAAUGGAA
rnacentral:lncRNA from 1 species